AUCCAUCUGGCAAGUCCCGAAUAGGACGAAACAUGUGUCCUGGAU
rnacentral:hammerhead_ribozyme from 1 species